CGUGUAGGCGGCAGGGCAUGUCGGAUGUGAAAUCCCGCGGCUCAACCACGGAAGUGCACCCGAAACUGCCCAGCUUGAGUCUCGGAGAGGAAGGCGGAAUGCUUGGUGUAGAGGUGAAAUUCGUAGAUAUCAAGCGGAACACCGGUGGCGAAGGCGGCCUUCUGGACGAUGACUGACGCUGAGACGCGAAAGCGUGGGGAGCAAACA
rnacentral:rRNA from 1 species